UACGUAGGUGACAAGCGUUGUCCGGAUUUACUGGGCGUAAAGGGUGCGUAGGCGGGUUCUUAAGUCAGAGGUGAAAUCCUGGAGCUCAACUCCAGAACUGCCUUUGAUACUGAGAGUCUUGAGUUCGGGAGAGGUGAGUGGAACUGCGAGUGUAGAGGUGAAAUUCGUAGAUAUUCGCAAGAACACCAGUGGCGAAGGCGGCUCACUGGCCCGAUACUGACGCUGAGGCACGAAAGCGUGGGGAGCAAACAGG
rnacentral:rRNA from 1 species